GGGGAAUAUUGGACAAUGGGGGCAACCCUGAUCCAGCAAUGCCGCGUGAGUGAUGAAGGCCUUCGGGUUGUAAAGCUCUUUUGCCAGGGACGAUGAUGACGGUACCUGGAGAAUAAGCUCCGGCUAACUUCGUGCCAGCAGCCGCGGUAAUACGGAGGGAGCUAGCGUUGUUCGGAAUUACUGGGCGUAAAGCGCACGUAGGCGGCUAUUCAAGUCAGAGGUGAAAGCCCGGGGCUCAACCCCGGAACUGCCUUUGAAACUAGAUAGCUAGAAUCUUGGAGAGGUCAGUGGAAUUCCGAGUGUAGAGGUGAAAUUCGUAGAUAUUCGGAAGAACACCAGUGGCGAAGGCGACUGACUGGACAAGUAUUGACGCUGAGGUGCGAAAGCGUGGGGAGCAAA
rnacentral:rRNA from 1 species